GGUUCGGGUUUCGGCCCGUGUAUGCCCUCAUGGGUGGCCGCUGCCUGACUUACUAGAUGGCUAGGUUGGUGACGUACCAGUAGCAGUAACAGUCGUGGUGUAGUAACAAAUGUGAUAGUGAUAGCAGUAGUAGUAGUAGUAGUAAUAGUAGUAGUAGUAGUAGUAGUAGUAGUAGUAGUAGUAGUAGUAGUAGUAGUAGUGGUGGUGGUGGUGGCAGUAGUAGUAACAGUAGUAGUAGUUAUAUUGUGGGUUGUUCAUUAUGAAGAGUAAUAUAAAGGGUCAAUAAUAAAGUUGAGUAAUAAGAUGUCAAGAGUAUAAAUGUAAUUCAGAAGGA